UACAGAGGGGGCAAGCGUUGUUCGGAAUUACUGGGCGUAAAGGGCGCGUAGGCGGCCGCCUAAGUCAGACGUGAAAUCCCUCGGCUCAACCGGGGAACUGCGUCUGAUACUGGGUGGCUUGAAUCCGGGAGAGGGAUGCGGAAUUCCAGGUGUAGCGGUGAAAUGCGUAGAUAUCUGGAGGAACACCGGUGGCGAAGGCGGCAACCUGGACCGGUAUUGACGCUGAGGCGCGAAAGCCAGGGGAGCAAACGGG
rnacentral:rRNA from 1 species